UAUAUCAAGUAAACCCCUGUAACUAUGGAAGUGGUCACACCGGAGUGAAAAUCCACUCUUGCAAGUUAAGCAGGGCUUUACCUGGUUAGUAGUUGGAUAGGAGACCAACUUGAAAGACCAGGGGCUGCUAUCC
rnacentral:rRNA from 12 species